rnacentral:rRNA from 1 species
GGGCGUAAAGAGCGUGUAGGCGGUCUAACAAGUUGGAAGUGAAAGCCCAGAGCUUAACUUUGGAAUUGCUUUCAAAACUAUUAGACUAGAGUGCGGUAGAGGGUGAUGGAAUUCCUAGUGUAGAGGUGAAAUUCUUAGAUAUUAGGAGGAACACCGAAGGCGAAAGCAGUCACCUGGGCCGAUACUGACGCUGAGACGCGAAAGCGUGGGUAGCAAACAGGAUUAGAUACCCUGGUAGUCCACGCUGUAAACGAUGAGUGCUAGAUAUUGGGGGGGUUACCUUUCAGUUUCGCAGCUAACGCAUUAAGCACUCCGCCUGGGGAGUACGGUCGCAAGAUUAAAACUCAAAGGAAUUGACGGGGACCCGCACAAGCGGUGGAGCAUGCGGUUUAAUUCGAUGAUACGCGAAAAACCUUACCAACUUUUGACAUAGUGGUUUCGAGCAGUAGAGAUAUUGCUUUUCAGUUCGGCUGGGCCACAUACAGGUGUUGCAUGGCUGUCGUCAGCUCGUGUCGUGAGAUGUUGGGUUAAGUCCCGCAACGAGCGCAACCCUCGUUCUUAUUUGCCAACAGGUAAUGCUGGGAACUAUAAGAAGACUGCCGGCCAGAAGCCGGAGGAAGGUGGGGAUGAGGUCAAGUCAUCAUGGCCCUUACAAGUUGGGCUACACGCGUGCUACAAUGGUAUCCACAAAGAGACACAAUAGUAAGACGGCGACGUCAAACAAAUCUCAAAAAGAUAUCUCAGUUCGGAUUGCACUCUGCAACUCGAGUGCAUGAAGUUGGAAUCGCUAGUAAUCGCGGAUCAGCAUGCCGCGGUGAUACGUUCCC